rnacentral:rRNA from 1 species
UACGUAGGGUGCAAGCGUUAUUCGGAAUCAUUGGGCGUAAAGGGUGCGUAGGCGGGCAGGUAAGUCCGUGGUGAAAUCUCUGAGCUUAACUCAGAAACUGCCAUGGAUACUAUUUGUCUUGAAUAUUGUGGAGGUCAGCGGAAUAUGUCAUGUAGCGGUGAAAUGCUUAGAUAUGACAUAGAACACCAAUUGCGAAGGCAGCUGGCUACACAGUUAUUGACGCUGAGGCACGAAAGCGUGGGGAUCAAACAGG